GUACAAUUUCUUAAUUUUGAUUGGCCGAAAGCUUUAUCUAUCACAACUACUGCGUCAGUUUGUACUCAAACAACUUUACCGCGAGGGGCUGUCAAAAGAAAGGCUUCAUGGUAAACACUAAGGCAAUUUGCAAUUCUGGAUCUGCCUCCCGGGAGCCUUUUGGCCAUGGAGACCAGCUGCUGGGUGUCUGCCACACCAGAGUCAGUUUGGAGAGAUCGGAGGAGAUGCGGAUGAAGAGACAGGGCUGAGGAGCUAGCACUGAGCGUCAGGACAGACAACCUUCACAGUCUUGGCUGAAUGAGCAGGUAUCGGACACCUCAUUCUUCCUGGCCAAGAGUUGGUUGGCGGCCGAGAGUGGAGUCGGCUCUAUUGGUUGCUUUGUUGGGUCUGCUCCUGUCUCUGGCCAUGCUUUCUGGACCCCAGCAGACGACGGCAUGGAACACCGCAGAGGCCACCACAGAGUAUAUGUUUCUUUUACUUUUUAAUCAUGGCUGUAUGUAGAAGUGGCUGGUUGCAUCAGCUCCGCUACUUUAAUGUCUUUCAUGUCCUUUGUGAUCUUUGAUGUUUCCCUCUUACACCCUUGUAAGAGGGAUGUGUACUAUGGCUAUGAGUUUUUUGUUUUCCCUUAGCCUCAGUCUGGACCCCCUUUACAGGGGCCCAGGUUUAGACCGAUUUUUUUAUUUUAUUUUAAUGUUUUAUUUUUUUCUCCCAUUCACCUCACUUGUUUACCUGUAUCACACCUUUUUUGUAAGGGGCGCUGGAAGUUGGCUGGCCCGUCAGCAAUCCCGUUCUGUCUCCCUGUAAUGUUUGUCUGAUCUUGAAUGGGAUUGUGCUAAAAAAAUUGUAUUUACCCCCUGGGAUUAAUAAAGUAUGUCUGAUUCUGA